UACAGAGGUCUCAAGCGUUGUUCGGAUUCAUUGGGCGUAAAGGGUGUGUAGGUGGCGCGCUAAGUCGGGUGUGAAAUUUCGGAGCUUAACUCCGAAACUGCAUUCGAUACUGGCGUGCUUGAGGACUGGAGAGGAGACUGGAAUUUACGGUGUAGCAGUGAAAUGCGUAGAUAUCGUAAGGAAGACCAGUGGCGAAGGCGGGUCUCGUGGACAGUUACUGACGCUCGAGGCACGGAAAGCAUAGGGGAGCAAAAAGGG
rnacentral:rRNA from 1 species